AGCGAACGCUGGCGGCAGGCCUAACACAUGCAAGUCGAACGGAUCCUUCGGGAUUAGUGGCGGACGGGUGAGUAACACGUGGGAACGUGCCCUUUGGUUCGGAACAACUCAGGGAAACUUGAGCUAAUACCGGAUGUGCCCUUCGGGGGAAAGAUUUAUCGCCAUUGGAGCGGCCCGCGUCUGAUUAGCUAGUUGGUGAGGUAAAGGCUCACCAAGGCGACGAUCAGUAGCUGGUCUGAGAGGAUGAUCAGCCACAUUGGGACUGAGACACGGCCCAAACUCCAACGGGAGGCAGCAGUGGGGAAUCUUGCGCAAUGGGCAAAAGCCUGACGCAGCCAUGCCGCGUGAAUGAUGAAGGUCUUAGGAUUGUAAAAUUCUUUCACCGGGGACGAUAAUGACGGUACCCGGAGAAGAAGCCCCGGCUAACUUCGUGCCAGCCGCCGCCGUAAAAC
rnacentral:rRNA from 1 species